GAAAUGCGAUAAGUAAUGUGAAUUGCAAUUCCGUGAAUCAUUAAAUCUUUGAACGCACAUUGCGCUUUCUGGUACUCCGGAGAGCAUGUCUGUUUGAGAAUCAGUUUAACUCUCACCUCCUUAGCUAGGGUAAAACCUUGUUAAUCGGAGUGUGGACUUGGGUGACUUGCUUUUUUAUAAAGUGAACACCUUGAAUUCAAUUUUCUUUGCGCCCUCCUUUGUUUAACCAACGAGAAAGGAAAAUAAGGCUAGAAGGCAUGACCACUGAGCUGGCAACAGUUCUUAUACGAUUGCUGAUAAUGGCUGUUUCCGAUUACCGGGGGGUAUACUUGAACACUUGGAAAAUGUUGAGGAAAUAAAAAUACAAAAACGAUGUGAAAGCAUCAAGACUUUGAUCUCA
rnacentral:misc_RNA from 1 species